rnacentral:rRNA from 1 species
GACGAACGCUGGCGGCGUGCUUAACACAUGCAAGUCGAACGGUGAUCUUGAGAGCUUGCUCUUGGGUGAUCAGUGGCGAACGGGUGAGUAACACGUGAGUAACCUGCCCCAGACUCUGGGAUAACCCCGGGAAACCGGAGCUAAUACCGGAUAUGACACUCGCACGCAUGUGCAGGGUGUGGAAAGUUUUUCGGUCUGGGAUGGACUCGCGGCCUAUCAGCUUGUUGGUGAGGUAGUGGCUCACCAAGGCGACGACGGGUAGCCGGCCUGAGAGGGCGACCGGCCACACUGGGACUGAGACACGGACCAGACUCCUACGGGAGGCAGCAGUGGGGAAUAUUGCACAAUGGGCGAAAGCCUGAUGCAGCGACGCCGCGUGAGGGAUGACGGCCUUCGAGUUGUAAACCUCUUUCAGCAGGGAAGAAGCGAAAGUGACGGUACCUGCAGAAGAAGCACCGGCUAACUACGUGCCAGCCGCCGCCGUAACAC